GCAUUCCUACAACAUAUCGUUAAUGCACCGGAUCCCAUUAGAACUCUACAGUUAAGUGCACUCAUGCUAGAGUAUUAUUUUGAUGGGUGACCACUCAAGAAGUCCUAGUUUUUUACAUGCC
rnacentral:rRNA from 1 species